CGGGGCAGACAGCCGGAUUUCGUUGCUGCAUGGGGUGCAGGUGGUCGGAGGUUCAAAUCCUCUCGCCCCGACCA
rnacentral:tRNA from 1 species